CGCAGGCUGACCCCUGGCCUGUCCGUGUGACCUUGAGGCGGGCUGCAGCGCCACAUCGGGAAAGAUCAUUUCUAUUAGUUCUACUGCAAGGGCAGCCUCCCAGCUUUGUGUUACCAAAUGAGCGUGAGUUAUAAAGGCAAAAUGACAGACAUCAUUCCUCUGUCUUUCUGCGUCAAAUAAUCAGACUUAUUCCAAACAACAAGGAACUGUAUAGUGCGUGUGUUCGGCUUUGAAAGCGAGAUGUGUGCGGAAGGCAGUCUCUGGCUCCCCCGUGAGACGCACGAUGGAUUCGUCCCGGGGCUCCCCACAGCUCCACAUUAGCAGCAUUUUCCCACUCACCCUCUUUUUUAAUGGAAAUCACAACAUGUCUCCGCUAGAUAAAUCUGUGUUCCUAAACCCAAUUGAUUUUUGAAUAGAAGCCUUAGAAGAAUAGCAAUAACUCUAUGGCAAUUAGCACAAAACUUCCUCACAAUCAAAAGGCCUAGAUUUGUGGUGCAAACUUGUUAAGAGUUAUUCUACAUAGAGACUCACAUUAUCACUAUUAUCCCAAUACAUCAUAACUUGCAUUAAAAAAAUGGAAUUCAUGAAGCAAGGAAUACCAGCUUUCCUGUGCAGGGCCAUAACUACAGAGGACCUUUCAACUGCUGGGGGACCCGGGAGGUUUAGGACCCCAGUGAUUGAUAAGCAGUUUUAAUAUAUGUUUAUGAAAAACAUAAUAUUCCCAAAGUUUAGUGAAUGCCCCAGGGCAAAAAAAUUAUUUUGCUGUAGUGCUUUUUUUUUUUUAUAUUUCUAGUUACUCCACUGCUCCUGUGGAUGGGCACACUUCUUUACACACAGUAACUGGGUCCUAAAGCCAGACCAUAGUGGCCAGUUUUAAAAAAAUCCCCACAAAAUAUAUAUAUGUUUGUGUGUAUAUAUAGAUUCACUUUAGUGCUCAUUUACACCCAUCUUUACUGUUCUUAUAUGUCUGUUUUACUUUAUUUCGUACUCCCAGUUUAGUAAAAUCACAAAAAAUAGAAAAAUCAAGAAACCCAAAGACUUCUACAAAUGUAUGCCAGUUUAGUACAGUCACCCAUGUACCUUGUUUAUUUUAGAACACAAAACGUUGUUGGUUACGACAACACAAAUGUAAUAUUAUUAACGUGCAAAUAUGAAAUAAUUUCUUCGUGUGUUCUUUGCAGCAGUUCUUAUUUCUUGCUCUUUUUUUCUUUUAUAUUUCUAUUAAUUCACUCCAUGAAAAUUAUUGGUGACUAAUGUUUUUCUGAAUGCUUUUGUUAUUGCAUUGUUAGUCAGGAUAACAAGAAUCACAAAUCUUUAUACAUGAUACACUGUAUGUAUAUAUCAAAUUGUGAUAAACGGCCAAACAUCUGCCGUACUUUCUUUUAAUUUAUUUUAAACUCAACACUGCCCCCUGCUGCCAUUCCUCAGAUUUUCUUUACAGAAGCAUGAUAGUGUUGGAAAACCCUUAGCUCAGUGAUCCCCAACCAGCGACUCGUGAGCAACAUGUUGCUCACCACCCCUUUGAUGUUGUUCCCAGCGGCCUCAAAGCGGGUCUUCAUUCCUGAAUUCCUUCAUUCCUUAACUUGGAGGCAAGUUUUGGUGGUAGAAAGACCAUGAGAACUACCAAAUAA